CCAAGAUGGCGGCCUGCGGAUCGGUGCGAGGUCGUCGCUGAGGCCGCGGUCAUGCGGGAGCCCUGGGUCCCGCGGCUGGGGCGCCCUUCGGUUGACCCACGAGCGUGCUGCGACACAGCGCCCACGAACUAUGCCCUUGGCGCCUAGGCAUGGGACGGCACCUUGGGAAGCGCUUCUCGGGCGGCUCGUGCUCUGCGCCGCCCUGUGUGUGUGCCGCGGCAGCGGCAGCGGCAGCGGCGAGCUGCCUCCUCCGGCCGCCGAGCCACCCGUGUCGUUCCCCCCGUUCCGGUCGUCGGCGCGCUGCAACGCUUCGUGUAGCGCUGGAGCGGCAGCCGCGGCCGCAUCGUGCGCGUCGCCGCCUGCUCGGCUGCCCUUCUGCACGCACCUGCCCAUGCGGCGGUUGCUGCUGGACGCCGGCUCGUGUCACGCCGACCGCCUCGAACGGGCGCUGCGCGCCGACCAGCUCGCCUGCCUGGUCGCCUGCGAGUUCCGCGCGCUCCUGAACCGCUUUGACUGCCUCGGAGGCUACUCCGCCAAAUGGAACUGCCACACAUGUGCCGUGGUGUACCGCGAAUGGACUUGCGCCAUGCUGGUGCCCGUGUACGGUCCCACGGCGGCCGAUGCCGGUCGCCGGAAGACCGCCGACGGCGGGUCGCCAGCACAAGCAGCAGCGGCAGCAGCGGCAACUGCGGCGCCGCCGACGGCGGCGGCGGCGGAAGGGAGCCUCGCCCAGCCGCCGCCGCCGCCUCCUGCACCAUCGCCGAUGAAGCCGUGCCGCGAGUUCUGCCACCGCGUCGAGGAGCAGUGCCCUUACUUCCACCCGGCUGCCAGGGAGCAGUACGCGGGGGAGCCCGUAUUCAUAUGCAUCGACCCCAACAUCCCGGACCUACCGUCAAUCAGCAACUCGUCGUACGGACCGCCGGGGGACUGCUACGAGCCGUGCCACGUGAACGCGUCGUUCAUGGACGACCGGCCGUGCAGUCCGGACGGUUACGGCGACCAUCUCGCCUUGGACUCUUCUUUGGUCGCGACCACGACGGUGGCCUCCAGCCCCACGGGGUCGGUAGCCGCCGCCGACGGUGGUGGUGGUGUUGUUGUUGGUGGGGCCAGUGGUGGGGGGCGGACGCAGCGACCGUGCUGUGCGCUCUCGGUGACCGCGGUGGUGACGGUGGUGACAGUGUGGUGGUCGGCGGGCCGGACCCGCGGCCGGCACAGAACCCUCUGCUCAUAGCACCGGCUGCCGCCUUCCUCCUCCUCCUCCGUGCCAGCAGACGACGACUGCCAAAGCGGCGACGACGCCGCCGCCAUCCAACCGCCACAGCAGCCGCUGACCCUCGUCGCGUAGGACGCCGGCCGCCGUGCCGGUGAGAUGCGCGCCGCCACCAACCACAAGACGAGGCGUCGACGGCUGCCACUGCUGCCGGGAGAGCCCUCUCCGGAACACAAGGGUCUUCUCGUGCAACACAAGGAAGACCAGCGCAGACCAACCCCAGCGCCGUCCUCCGGAUUCGCCUCGAGGGCAGCAGCGGUAGUGGCGGUGCAAGUGGUGGCUCGGCCACGGCGGACGACGUCCCCACUCUCCGAGCAACAUCAACAACGAGUCCGCCACCACGGCACACCGCCAUCCCCACACCACUGGAAGCGGUGCGCGACAGCCUCUCCGGGUUUCCGGCACGCACUCACUACGCACACACACACACUCACACGUUCACUGACACGCGUAGACAAA